rnacentral:tRNA from 1 species
GCCGGGAUGGCGGAAUCGGUAGACGCUGCGGACUUAAAAUCCGCUGCCCGUACGGGCGUGCGGGUUCGAGCCCCGCUCCCGGCACCA